rnacentral:rRNA from 1 species
UCGAGACUAGGACGUUGAUAGGUUGGAUGUGGAAGCAUAGUGAUAUGUGAAGCUGACCAAUACUAAUUGCUCGUGAGGCUUGACUAU